CCAAAAGGGAAAAAAUCUCUUGAGAAACAGAGGAAAAGAACAGUUAGGCAAGGUACUUCGGGUAAUUUGUGCCAAGUAUAUAAAUGCCAUGCUAACCUCCAUUUGCACAGACAAUGGCAUUCAUGGAUCCCUUCCUCAAUCCUUGGUACUGGAGAAACAAUUAGCCCUCACCAGGCACAACCUAUUCAUACUGUGCAUUUCCCUCUUGAAGUGAGCGACCCAAGAAUAGGCCCUUGCCUGAUGUCUUUGUGGAGGCCAUCUCACUUCUGGAACAAAGCUUGGCACCUACUAUUUGCAGAACAAGGCCAUACUGUCUGGAUGAGGCUCCACACCCUGCCACAGGGUCAGAGAAGCUCACUCUAAAUUCACUCUGAUUCAGAGACAGCUGAGCCAAUUCUUCAGGAGAGAAAGAAAAAAAAUUCUAUCCCUCUGGUGAGAAGGGUGUCUGAGCGAACCCAUAAUAUUCUGGCAAUGGAAGUAGGGGUGUGAAGCUUGGGACUUUUGGGAGCACUUACUACUAGGAAAGAAGCAACACAAAAAUUUAUCCAGCCCAGAGUUGGCUGCAAAGGAAGCUGUGAGGCUGUCCUGGCCUGAGCUAUGUGCCACCUUACUCCCUGGGAUUGCUGACA
rnacentral:lncRNA from 1 species